rnacentral:lncRNA from 10 species
CCCAUCUCUACAAAAAAUACCAAAAUAAUUAGCCAGGAAUGGUGGCACGCACCUAUAGUCCCAGCUACUUGGGAGGCUGAGGCAGUAGAAUCGCUUGAGCCCAGGAAGCAGAGGUUGCAGUGAGCAGUGAUCACGCCACUGCACUCCCUCCUGGGUGACAAAGCCAGACCCUGUCUCAAAAAAUAAAAAAAAAAAAAUAAAAGAUGUAGGGAUUGAAGGAGACAUGGAGAUUUAUCAUCCUUCUAGAUUAUCUCUUUGGCCCCAGCUCCCUCCUCCAAUCCAUCUUUCACUUUGCAAGCUGAAUGUUCUAAAAAGCAAAUCUGAACACAUCAGCUGUCUGUUUCAGUGUGCUCCCAACACCAAACUGCUUGCUGUGCUCUCUUUUACACCUUCUUCCCAUUGCACAGGUGGAAAUUAUUUUCCUUGCCUUGAAAUUGCUGGGCGUUUUAUCUCCAGGGUAUUCCUUUAACCUAGCAAGUGCAUGGCCCAUAGUAGGUGUUCAACAUGCAUUUGCUGAUUGACUAACCUUAUUGUCAUCAUCCAUGUCUGUUUCUGAAUGUCCCAAGAACUAUCUGAACUCUUGUACCAGCUAGGUUCCCCAUGAAAGACUCAAUUCCUCCCAGGGAGGGGGUUGACCACUCUCAGUGAGAUGGAAAAGCCCAAGCAGAGGCCCCUUCUUCCUAAUCCCUUAGAAUAUCAGCUCUCUCUUCUGAUCACAAGGCCAAUCAAGCCCCACUCAUCAUUCUCCAGAGGGGAGUCCCAGGGCCACAAGAGACCUGGUAUUCAUGACGAUUGCAUGGGAAAUACUUAUAUUUUAAAAGUAUUCAUUGUUUAUCUGAAAUUCAAAUUUAACUGAUCAUCCUGUAUUUUAUCUGGCAACCCUAAUGUAGGGUUGAGAACCAUGUAGUAGGGAAUUGAACUAGAUAGCCUGUAGAACCCUCUCAACUCCAGGAAACAAAGAUUCGAAGAUUCUUUUUUAAAUUUGUAUUUACUUAGUUUUUUAGAGACGGGGGUCUCACUAUGUUUUCCAGGAUGGAUUAGAACUCUUGGGCAAAAAUGAUCCUCCUGCCUCAGCCUCCCAAGUAGCUGGGAUUACAGGUGCAUGCCACCACACCUGGCUCCUAAGAUUCUUCUAGUUUGCCUUAUUCCUUCCAGUGAAAGCAGAAACUCUUCUUAGGAUUAUAGUAAAAGAGUUGAGAACAAUAACUAACAGGUGAAUUAACAUAACAAAUGACAAUACCCCCUUACUCACUGUGUAACCUUGGGACAGUCACUUAACCUCAUUGAACAUCCAUUGCUUCAUUUAGCCAAUGAAAGGAAACCGAGAUUUUAUCUAAUAAAUGCCAGGCACUGUGUAGACACUUCCUUCUAUGAGAUCUCUUGCCUAGGACAAUCAGACAAAAUACUGUCUGAGAAGGCACUUUGUAUGUGGGAAUAGGCUGUAACAAAUGUAAAAUGGUGUUACCGUUAGUAUCAUAUCUGUCUGCAGUUUCUUUCUUUUACUGCCCCUUAGCAGGAAAGAAGCUUCCUUAGUUCCAUCAUAUUGUAGAGGAAGAAUGUCAUUGUCCAGGACUCUAGACUAUAGAGCAGUGGUUCUUUUUUUGUUGUUGUUGUUGUUUUCUUUUGAGACAGAGUCUUUCUCUGUCUCCCAGGCUGGAGUGCAGUGGCACAAUCCUGGCUCACUGCAACCUCUGCCUCCUGGGUUCAAGUGAUUCUCCUG